GACGAACGCUGGCGGCGUGCUUAACACAUGCAAGUCGAACGGAAAGGCCCUGCUUUUGUGGGGUGCUCGAGUGGCGAACGGGUGAGUAACACGUGAGUAACCUGCCCUUGACUUUGGUAUAACUUCAGGAAACUGGGGCUAAUACCGUAUAGGAGCUCCUGCUGCAUGGUGGGGGUUGGAAAGUUUCGGCGGUUGGGGAUGGACUCGCGGCUUAUCAGCUUGUUGGUGGGGUAGUGGCUUACCAAGGCUUUGACGGGUAGCCGGCCUGAGAGGGUGACCGGCAACAUUGGGACUGGGAUACGGCCCAGACUCCUACGGGAGGCAGCAGUGGGGAAUAUUGCACAAUGGGCGGAAGCCUGAUGCAGCAACGCCGCGUGCGGGAUGACGGACUUCGGGUUGUAAACCGUUUUCGCCUGUGACGAAGCGUGAGUGACGGUAAUGGGUAAAGAAGCACCGGCUAACUCCGUG
rnacentral:rRNA from 1 species